UGGCCUCGGAGUUGGCCUUGCACCUCUCCAAGAAGGCUGCUUGAGCUUUCCCAACGUUCUCCUUCUUCCCACUCCAUACCUUGAGCGUACUUUGCUGUAACGCUCGCCCAAAUGAGAAGGAAAGAGUCCAUGGCUUCAACUCUUCCACUUUGUUGAUGGCAUUCAGGUUGAGUGUGGCUUCUUCUUCGCUUUGUCCUCCAGACAGGAAGACAACCCCCGGGACAGCCGCUGGCACGGUACGGCGAAGUGCAGCCACCGUAUACUUCGCGACUACCUCUGGAGCUACCUUUGGGCUACCGGAGCCAGGGGUGACCAUGUUGGGCUUGAGGAGAGUUCCUUCAAGAAGCACAUGGUGGUCACUGAGCGCCUUGUAAACCGCAGCCAGCACAAUCUCAGUAGCAGCAGCACACUUGUUGAUAUCA
rnacentral:misc_RNA from 1 species